rnacentral:rRNA from 1 species
UUUCGCAAUGCCCGAAAGGGUGACGAAGCGACGCCGCGUGUGGGAAGAAGGCCUUCGGGUUGUAAACCACUGUCGGGAGUUAGGAAAUGUAAGGGUGCUAAUAGUAUCCUUACUUGACUAAGGCUCCGGAGGAAGCCACGGCUAACUCUGUGCCAGCAGCCGCGGUAAUACAGAGGCGGCAAGCGUUGUUCGGAAUUAUUGGGCGUAAAGAGCACGUAGGCGGCCUUGUAAGUCAGUUGUGAAAGCCUUCUGCUUAACGGAAGAACAGCAGCUGAUACUGCAAGGCUAGAGUGCGGAAGGGGAGAGUGGAACUUCUGGUGGAGCGGUGAAAUGCGUAGAUAUCAGAAGGAACACCGGCGGCGAAGGCGACUCUCUGGUCCGUAACCGACGCUGAGUGUGCGAAAGCUAGGGGAGCAAACGGGAUUAGAUACCCCGGUUGUCCUAGCCGUAAACGAUGGGCACUAAGUAGAGGGGUUUUA